rnacentral:lncRNA from 10 species
UAUCCUAGAAAUAUCAAACAAAUUAAAAAGUGAAUUGACAGUCCCAACUGUAGUUGUACUGAAUACUUCAAACCAGCAAUAUUUCUUGCUAGAUAGACAGAUUAAGAAUGUUGAAGACAUGGUCCAGUUUAUUAAUAACAUUUUGGAUGGCACAGUAGAAGCCCAAGGAGGUGAUAGCAUUUUGCAGAGAUUGAAAAGAAUAGUAUUUGAUGCCAAAUCUACUAUUGUGUCUAUAUUCAAGAGCUCACCACUGAUGGGCUGCUUUCUCUUUGGCCUGCCACUGGGUGUCAUCAGUAUCAUGUGCUAUGGAAUCUACACAGCCGACACAGAUGGAGGUUAUAUAGAAGAACGAUAUGAAGUGUCUAAAAGUGAAAAUGAAAACCAAGAACAGAUAG